rnacentral:rRNA from 1 species
UACGUAGGGUGCGAGCGUUAAUCGGAAUUACUGGGCGUAAAGCGUGCGCAGGCGGUUUUCUAAGACCGAUGUGAAAUCCCCGGGCUUAACCUGGGAACUGCAUUGGUGACUGGCAGGCUAGAGUAUGGCAGAGGGGGGUAGAAUUCCACGUGUAGCAGUGAAAUGCGUAGAGAUGUGGAGGAAUACCGAUGGCGAAGGCAGCCCCCUGGGCCAAUACUGACGCUCAUGCACGAAAGCGUGGGGAGCAAACAGG